rnacentral:rRNA from 1 species
UACGUAGGGUGCGAGCGUUGUCCGGAAUUAUUGGGCGUAAAGAGCUCGUAGGCGGUGUGUCGCGUCGGCCGUGAAAACCUGGGGCUCAACUCUGGGCGUGCGGUCGAUACGGGCAUCACUUGAGUUCGGCAGGGGAGACUGGAAUUCCUGGUGUAGCGGUGAAAUGCGCAGAUAUCAGGAGGAACACCGGUGGCGAAGGCGGGUCUCUGGGCCGAUACUGACGCUGAGGAGCGAAAGUGUGGGGAGCGAACAGG